GUCUUCAUGGUGUAGUGGUUAUCACGUGUCCUUCACAGGUCAGCCCCUGUAGCUCGGACAAGGUCUCCGGUUCGACCCCGGAUGAGGACA